AGGAGGUGAAUCCUGGGAGCCAAGGGCAGAGAGAGGCAAGUCCCCAGAGAAGUGGGAAUGGCCAACAGCUUCCUGAGAAGAUGCCUUCCGUCCUUCCUGGGCAGGCAAGGGAAGUCUCAAGAAUACACAAGAGAAGGGAGAGUGGCAGAGCCCAGGCUGGGGAUGUUAAAAGGGACUCACGGUGAGGAUGGGGGCGGGCCCGAAAGUCCCACCUGACUCCAGGCUGCAGGAGGGAGCGUGGGACGGGGGCGGAGCCGCUGGCGAUGACAACAGCCCCACGUGAUCGGCCAACACUGAGUCUUGCCUCUCUCUGGCGUCGGAGCCGCCGUCGCUCGCUCCUUUCUCGGCUGUGGUACCUGUUCCCGGUGGCCCUGAGGACGUGCGGGCCAGGUGCGGCCCCGAAAGCAGGAAGCGGAGGGGGAGCAGGUCUGCGAGGCUAAGUGUCGAGGCGACGCACCUCACGUCGAGAAUCGGGAGGAGGAGGAGACUGCAAGGAUAGGCCCAGGAGUAAUGGAGUCCAAAGAGGAACGAGCGUUAAACAAUCUCAACGUGGAAAAUGUCAACCAGGAAAAUGAUGAAAAAGAUGAAAAGGAGCAAGUUGCUAAUAAAGGGGAGCCCUUGGCCCUCCCUUUGAAUGUUGAUGAAUACUGUGUGCCUAGAGGAAAUCGUAGGCGGUUCCGUGUUAGGCAGCCCACCCUGCAGUAUAGAUGGGACAUAAUGCAUAGGCUUGGAGAGCCACAGGCAAGGAUGAGAGAGGAGAAUAUGGAAAGGAUUGGGGAGGAGGUGAGACAGCUGAUGGAAAAGCUGAGGGAAAAACAGUUGAGUCAUAGUCUGCGGGCAGUCAGCACUGACCCCCCUCACCAUGACCAUCACGAUGAGUUUUGCCUUAUGCCCUGAAUCCUGAUGGUUUCCCUGAAGUUAAUAGGGAGACCCCAGCUUCCUAAACUUACACAUUUGUGGUGUACCUUUGUCGUAAACCUUUUGAUGUUACCUAUUUCUUGUGGGUCUCCUAUUACCAGCUUCAAACUGAAUGUUGUUUUGACCCAGUUUGUAAGUUUCUGUCAGCAGGGGAGUUUUACCUACUGCAUGGAAAGAUGCUCAUUAUAUAUUGUGAAGUUAAUAAAAUAGUUUUAAAAACCAUUCUCUGCAUUCUUUUUUACUUUAAAUCUUAAAUAUGAACAUAAACAGUCAUAUAUGUACACAUAUAUACACAUAUAUAGAAAAUCGUGUUUAUCUUUGUGGUAGAAUUAAGAGGGAGUUUAUUCUUGCUUAUCCAUAAUUUCUUAUUUUUUAAAAUGGAACACGUAUUACUUAUAAAAAGCAAUGUGACCACCUUAUAAAAGCAAUGUGAGCACUUAAUAAACACUUGUGACAGAAUCUCAAUUUUAACUUGCUUCUGGGAUCUCUUUUUAGAAAUGUUUGAGAGACACAUCUCUUUGAAGAUCAUAAUAUUUAUCAGUAAGAUGAAGACAAUCACCUCCCAGGCUUAUUGUAUGGACCAGAAAAGGUUUUGCUCCCUACA